AACUGUGUAUGAAGGUAAUGCAUAGUAGGGUACAGCAACUGGGUAAGGCUCAACCUUGUAAUAAUACUGAUUCCAACUGCAGACAUUACCCGUUUCCUGAAACGUGCUUGGAAACUUGGUGUCACUCGGUUGUCGGUGAGGAGGCAGAGGAUUUUCUGUCUUUACAAUUUCAGGAUUGGAAGAAGAUUUUAAUUUGCUAUCUGCUGCCUCCUUCUGAUCCUUCUUUGGAGCCUUAUUCUCACUUCCAUCCCCACCAUUUUUAACCUCUUUGUUCUUGUCAGUAGAAUUGCCUAAUGAAUUUGAGGAUUUUGCUUGAUCACAUUCAGAUUUUGGUUUCUCUUUCUCUUUUAUCACUGUGUUUUCUGCUUCUUUCUUUUCUUUUCCAGCAUUCUGACUCCCAUUGCUCCACAGUUCUGCUUGUUUUCCAGCUUUCAGCAGUCUUCUUAUUAGAAUUUGUGGAUCCACAUUCCCUAAGACUGUAACUUUGGGUUGUAAAGGAUCUAUUUCAGUCUUUAGAACACCUUCAAUACUCUGUAAAAUCUUCUUAACUUUCCUCUUACAGCCAUCACAGCAGAUGACAGAAACCUUGAGUUCAAU
rnacentral:misc_RNA from 1 species